GGAAAGUAAAAGUCGUAACAAGGUCUCCGUAGGUGAACCUGCGGAGGGAUCAUUACAGAGUUCUCGCCCUUCCGGGUAGAUCUCCCACCCACUGUUAUUGUUACCGUCGUUUCUUUGGCGGGCCGCCGGGCCCUGCUCGGCCGCCGGCCCCGGCUGGCGCGUGCCCGCCAGAGGCCCUUCAAACUCUGAAUGUUAGUGUCGUCUGAGUACUAUACAAUAGUUAAAACUUUCAACAACGGAUCUCUUGGUUCUG
rnacentral:misc_RNA from 1 species